GUGCACGCUGGCGGUAGGCCUAACCCAUGCACGUCGCACGGCAGCACAGUAAGAGCUUGCUCUUACGGGUGGCGAGUGGCGGACGGGUGAGGAAUACAUCGGAAUCUACUUUUUCGUGGGGGAUAACGUAGGGAAACUUACGCUAAUACCGCAUACGACCUACGGGUGAAAGCAGGGGAUCUUCGGACCUUGCGCGAUUGAAUGAGCCGAUGUCGGAUUAGCUAGUUGGCGGGGUAAAGGCCCACCAAGGCGACGAUCCGUAGCUGGUCUGAGAGGAUGAUCAGCCACACUGGAACUGAGACACGGUCCAGACUCCUACGGGAGGCAGCAGUGGGGAAUAUUGGACAAUGGGCGCAAGCCUGAUCCAGCCAUACCGCGUGGGUGAAGAAGGCCUUCGGGUUGUAAAGCCCUUUUGUUGGGAAAGAAAAGCAGCAGGUUAAUACCCCGCUGUUCUGACGGUACCCAAAGAAUAAGCACCGGCUAACUUCGUG
rnacentral:rRNA from 1 species